UACGUAGGGGGCAAGCGUUGUCCGGAAUUAUUGGGCGUAAAGAGCGUGUAGGCGGUCCGGUAAGUCGGCUGUGAAAGUCCAGGGCUCAACCCUGGGAUGCCGGUCGAUACUGCCGGACUAGAGUUCGGAAGAGGCGAGUGGAAUUCCCGGUGUAGCGGUGAAAUGCGCAGAUAUCGGGAGGAGCACCUAUGGCGAAGGCAGCUCGCUGGGACGUUACUGACGCUGAGGCGCGACAGCGUGGGGAGCAAACAGG
rnacentral:rRNA from 1 species